AUUGAACGCUGGCGGCAGGCCUAACACAUGCAAGUCGAGCGGGGUGAUGGUGCUUGCACUAUCACUUAGCGGCGGACGGGUGAGUAAUGCUUAGGAAUCUGCCUAUUAGUGGGGGACAACAUCUCGAAAGGGAUGCUAAUACCGCAUACGUCCUACGGGAGAAAGCAGGGGAUCACUUGUGACCUUGCGCUAAUAGAUGAGCCUAAGUCGGAUUAGCUAGUUGGUGGGGUAAAGGCCUACCAAGGCGACGAUCUGUAGCGGGUCUGAGAGGAUGAGCCGCCACACUGGGACUGAGACACGGCCCAGAAUCCUACGGGAGGCAGCAGUGGGGAAUAUUGGACAAUGGGGGGAACCCUGAGCCAGCCAUGCCGCGUGUGUGAAGAAGGCCUUAUGGUUGUAAAGCACUUUAAGCGAGGAGGAGGCUCUUUUGGUUAAUACCCAAGAUGAGUGGACGUUACUCGCAGAAUAAGCACCGGCUAACUCUGUGCCAGCCGCCGCAGUAA
rnacentral:rRNA from 1 species